UACGUAGGUGACAAGCGUUGUCCGGAUUUACUGGGCGUAAAGAGCGCGCAGGCGGUCGAUCAAGUCGAGUGUGAAAGCCCCCGGCUCAACUGGGGAGGGUCAUUCGAUACUGAUCGACUCGAAGGCAGGAGAGGGUAGUGGAAUUCCCGGUGUAGUGGUGAAAUGCGUAGAUAUCGGGAGGAACACCAGUGGUGAAGGCAGCUCUCUGGGACGGUACUGACGCUGAGACGCGAAAGCGUGGGGAGCGAACAGG
rnacentral:rRNA from 1 species